rnacentral:misc_RNA from 1 species
CAUUGUUGCCUCGCUGCAACUGUGGUGAAGCACCGUGCACUGGCGACCGGGGAUGGGAGAGGCCCCGCUCGGUUGAUGGGAGGUGUGCGACCGGCAUGUGGUGUCGCACUUGAAUCGAUGGGACCGUAACGUCCGCCCGUCGGGCCUCAAACCGAGUUCUCCCCAUCUUUG